AUUGAACGCUGGCGGCGUGCCUAACACAUGCAAGUCGAGCGGCAGCGCGGGAGCAAUCCUGGCGGCGAGCGGCGAACGGGUGAGUAAUGCUUCGGAAUCUGCCCAUGUAGUGGGGAAUAACCAGCCGAAAGGUUGGCUAAUACCGCAUACGACCUACGGGUGAAAGCAGGGGAUCGCAAGACCUUGCGCUAUUGGAUGAGCCGAAGUCGGAUAGCUAGUUGGUAGGGUAACGGCCUACCAAGGCGACGAUCCGUAGCUGGUCUGAGAGGACGACCAGCCACACUGGGACUGAGACACGGCCCAGACUCCUACGGGAGGCAGCAGUGGGGAAUAUUGGACAAGUGGGGGCAACCCUGAUCCAGCGACGCCGCGUGUGUGAAGAAGGCC
rnacentral:rRNA from 1 species